ACACAGCGGUAGCGGCAGCACCAUCGGUCCAAAACAAAAUAAUCGAUUGCCUGCCGCGCGAGCGUUCUUCCAGUGUGUUUAUGGUAUGUCGAAGAGGGAAGAUGAUGAUGAUGGAAGAAGAAAAAGGGAGAGAAAGGGAACAACGGCCCCCUUACCUUUUCCGGAGAGAAUGUGUGUGUGUGUGUGUGCUUGGCCUUGAGAGAAAUGUUGAUGAUACAACAACC
ensembl:ncRNA Y51H4A.939 ncRNA